CAGCCGCCGCGGGAAAACGUAGGUGGCAAGCGUUGUCCGGAUUUAUUGGGCGUAAAGCGAGCGCAGGCGGUUUCUUAAGUCUGAUGUGAAAGCCCCCGGCUCAACCGGGGAGGGUCAUUGGAAACUGGGAGACUUGAGUCCAGAAGAGGAGAGUGGAAUUCCAUGUGUAGCGGUGAAAUGCGUAGAUAUAUGGAGGAACACCAGUGGCGAAGGCGGCUCUCUGGUCUGUAACUGACGCUGAGGCUCGAAAGCGUGGGGAGCGAACAGGAUUAGAUACCCCGGUAGUCCCUGUCUCUUAUAC
rnacentral:rRNA from 1 species